rnacentral:lncRNA from 1 species
AAUCACGAUUUUUUUUUCAAUCACUGAUGAUGUAGGAACAAACCUACUCAUUGUUCUCAGGAAGUUAUUCUGUGAAGGGAAAAUGACCAUAAAACAAUAAACAACUAAUUAUGUAAUGACAGAUCUGAACCAAGGCUGGGGAUUUCACCUUUCUUGACCAGAAAAAACUAGUUUUCCUUUAAUGGACCUUUUACAUCAAACUGAUAACCCUGAGUGAAAUGUCCCAAUUGGUACUAACAAAAAAAAGUCUAAGAUACCAAGUCCAUUUCUAAGAACUCCAUAAUCCUCAUUUGACUGCAUCUAUUAAUGAAAGGAUACAGACCAGGCAGAAGGACUCCAUCUACAAAGGUUGCCCUUGAUGCCGGCAGAUGCAAUAUCCAGAUUAUCUCAUCUGCAGGAAGUGAGUAAAAGAGAGAAGAGUGGAAAGGAAGAAGGGAGAGAGGGGCAGAAUAAAAAGAAAGAGAAACAGUGUGCCUUCUCUGAGAUACAAAGGAGGUGCCAACAUCCUUUGCCAACAGCAAGAGCCACAGCAAGCCUAACCUCAUAUUCUAAUAUGAGCACAUAUAUUCUAACAACCAUUCGACUGAUUGUAAUGGCACAGAUUCCGACAAAAAGCUUCUUAUAAGCUAAAUGAAAUUGAGAGAGAUGCUACAAAACAGAAGCCUGGCCAUCAGUCCUUGUGAAGGGAACAGGAUUCUCUGUGUCCUCGGAGAAGAGGGGAAGACCAGUUUGCAAGGAUGGAAUAAUCUUUACUUCCCACAGAGUAGGUAGCACACGAUAUAAAACAAAAUGGUUUAUUUAAAAGGACUAACCUGUAACAACAACACUCAGUUUUGUGAAGGCAACUCUCUGUUAUUUUACUUGGAAAAGAAUGGGGUAAAACAUAAACAUCUUCAAACAAACCAAUACAGUGGUGGUUUAAUGUAAAAUUGUUUCUAAAGACAGCAGUGCUUUCAGUGGAGCCAGUUCAUUGGGGAAAUACAUAUAUAUGUGUGUGUGUGUAUCAUNNNNNNNNNNAUAGAUAGAUAGAUAGAUAGAUAGAUAGAUAGAUAGAUAGAUAGAUAGAUAGAAUGUGCCGCUAUGAG